AUGCAGAGGGAAAUUGUAGAGCAGCUGAACCUUCCCAAUUGGGUGACGGAGAUAUUUGACAAGCAAGAUGAGGACAAUGAUUUCAAUGGGUUAUAUCAGGGCUCCCAAACUGAGAUAACACAAGUUGUCAGAGAGAUCUAUCAAGCCACACAUAAUCAAAGAUUUUUGGUGAUUCUGCACAAUGUAAGCAAUGAGGAGAUUGAUAUAUUUAAAUUUGGUGUCUAUAUAUAUGGAUAUGCCAACAACAAGAUGUUGUGGACUUUCCAUGGCAGGUUUCACCUUGACCCCAAGAUGUUACAUAAUGUGAAUAAGAGCAUGUCAACUAAUGUUGUUCUUUCAGCUUCAAGUGACCAACGAGAUCCGCAUGAACUUUGGUCUUAUCUAGUGCAUCAUGAGGCUGCACAAGUUUCCUGCAAUAAGAAUGGCCAUGGUAUCAUUGAAGCGGUGAUUGCUGCUGAGUGUGUCUUGUACAUUAUGAAACAAUGCCACAUCGACUCUCACAUCAUGGACUAUGACUGGGCUAUCCACACCAGUAACUAUUGGGUAUGUGAUGGGAUCAUCACAUUGACAUACACUGACAAAGCGUGGCAAGUUGGUGAUGUCCUGCAACACAAGGUGCGGUUGUUGGACAUUGUUGGCGAGUCAACAACAAUAUCUUCCUCUCACUUGGCAAGGUCUACCAAGCAUAUGUCGUACUGGAUUUCAACACCAACUUGUGGAUUUGUGUUGAGCCCCUCUGGUGCUAUUGUUGACAUCAUGUUUCAACAUUACCACAAGCUCAGUGUGCUCAAGCUCUCAAGGUGCACCUUCAGUUUCUCAUCGCCCCCAUUCCUCUAUUGUCACAGCCUAAGAUUCAUGUGGCUUGAGCACUGUGCAGAUCUCCUAACAAGAACAAACACCAUAGAUCAUCACCAAAGAGAUGCAGACAAGGAGGGGGAAUUGGACAACAGCACCAUGACCUCAUGGGAAUGCUUCCAAAGCUUGUGGGUGCUUGACCUGCGCUACACAGAUUGGGAUCAGAUCUUGUCCGCAAGGCUACUGAUGGUGGUAGCCACAUCCAAGGAGAAAGCAGUAAAAAAUUAUUGCAAGUCCAACAACAUACAAACAUUAUGGGCGUCCGAACUCCACUCUGCACGCUACAUCUUCGACAUGCUAGUUAAAAGUUACUUUAAGUUCCUGAAGUUCUUGCACCUGGACCACUGCCCGAGGCUCGUACAUGUUCUCCCGUUCUCCACAUGGACACACAGGAGAGAUGCCGCCUCCAUACUAGAGACAUGCACCUUGGAUUACCUAGAGACCCUCGAGAUAUUGUACUGUAGUGAUCUCAGGGAGGUAUUCCCUUUGAGCCCUCAUAUUCAAGAGCAGGAUAAAAUUCUAGAUUUCCCCAAUCUCAGGCGCAUCCACCUUCACGAGCUCCCAAAGUUGCAGCGCAUCUGUGGACGCAGGAUAUUUGCACCUAAACUCACGACCAUCAAGAUCAGGGGCUGCUGGAGCCUUAGGUGCGUGCCUGCCGUCAGGCAAAACACCAAGCCGCCCAAGGUGGACUGCGAGAAAGAAUGGUGGGACAACCUGGAGUGGGAUGGGUUGGAGGAGAACCACCAUCCUUCCCUCUACGAGCCAACCCACUCGCCGUACUACAAGAAGGCCCAGCUACCCAGAGGCACCAUACUCAGGCUGGCAUAUAUGGAGUAA
rnacentral:rRNA from 1 species